AUUGAACGCUGGCGGCAGGCUUAACACAUGCAAGUCGAGCGGGGUGAUGGUGCUUGCACUAUCACUUAGCGGCGGACGGGUGAGUAAUGCUUAGGAAUCUGCCUAUUAGUGGGGGACAACAUCUCGAAAGGGAUGCUAAUACCGCAUACGUCCUACGGGAGAAAGCAGGGGAUCACUUGUGACCUUGCGCUAAUAGAUGAGCCUAAGUCGGAUUAGCUAGUUGGUGGGGUAAAGGCCUACCAAGGCGACGAUCUGUAGCGGGUCUGAGAGGAUGAUCAGCCACACUGGGACGGAGACACGGCCCAGACUCCUACGGGAGGCAGCAGUGGGGAAUAUUGGACAGUGGGGGGAACCCUGAUCCAGCCAUGCCGCGUGUGUGAAGAAGGCCUUAUGGUUGUAAAGCACUUUAAGCGAGGAGGAGGCUCUUUUGGUUAAUACCCAAGAUGAGUGGACGUUACUCGCAGAAUAAGCACCGGCUAACUCUGUGCCAGCCGCCGCCGUAA
rnacentral:rRNA from 1 species